AAAAAAUCUUUUGAAACUGCUGUAUCAAUUUCAGCCAAACUUAGGCUAAAUGUAUUUCAGAGUAUCUAGUAUAAAUUUUAUAUUUUAUUUCCUUGUAUGUCAAGAAACAUAGCUCCUAUGGCUAAAAUAGAACAUAGGAGAAAAUGAUUAUUUUUUUUGGCUUUUGAAGAAAAUAGGACGAUCCAAAAAACAUUUAAAUAAAUUGAAAAGCCAAAAUAAUCAUUGAUGAGAGAUUUAACCAAAAGAAUUAAGGUGAGCGAUUCAGGCUCUUGAGAGCCUCUUGUUUUUUAAGGCAUUCAAAUGGAUAAAACCAGAGGAUUUCUAAAAUCUGACAAAAAUUACAAAACAUGACAAGCAAACAUCCUUAAAAAUUCAAUUUUAUCUAAAUAAAUUGUUGUUUUAUUGUGAGUUUUAUUUUUGUAUUCCCUGGAUCAGGUGAAAACAGAGGUUGCAGAGAUGCUUAACUGGUAUUGGCGACUGCAGCGACAUUUGCUUUUUAUGUAACCCCUGCCCCC
rnacentral:lncRNA from 1 species